UCAGGAUGAACGUUGGCGGUGUGCCUAAUACAUGCAAGUCGAACGGAGUGUACGAGAUAGCAAUAUUUUGUAUUACUUAGUGGCGAACGGGUGAGUAACGCGUUGGUGAUCUGCCCCGAAGUGGGGAAUAACAAUUCGAAAGAAUUGCUAAUACCUCAUGUUAUCUUAGAGAUUAGAUGCUCUUUGAUCAAAGGAUUUAUUCGCUUCGGGAGGAGCCUGCGUCCCAUCAGCUAGUUGGUAAGGUAACGGCUUACCAAGGCUAUGACGGGUAGGGGACCUGAGAGGGUGGCCCCCCACAAUGGAACUGAAACACGGUCCAUACACCUACGGGUGGCAGCAGUAGGGAAUAUUAGUAAUGGGCGAMAGCCUGAACUAGCAACACCGCGUGUGCGAUGAAGGCCUUCGGGUUGUAAAGCACUUUUCGAGAGGAAGAGGAAGGACGGUACUCUCGGAAUAAGUCUCGGCUAACUACGUGCCAGCAGCCGCGGUAAAACGUAGGAGGCGAACGUUAUCCGGAUUUACUGGGCGUAAAGCGCGUGUAGGUGGUUUGGUAAGUAGGGCGUGAAAGCUCCUGGCUCAACUAGGAGAGGUCGUUCUAAACUGCCAGACUUGAGGAUGGUAGAGGGAGGUGGAAUUCCGGGUGUAGUAGUGAAAUGCGCAGAUAUUCGGAGGAACACCAGUGGCGAAAGCGGCCUCCUGGACCACACCUGACACUCAGACGCGAAAGCUAGGGUAGCAAACGGGAUUAGAGACCCCGGUAGUCCUAGCCGUAAACGAUGUAGACUUGACGUUGGUGGUUUAAUAUCCAUCAGUGUCGUAGCUAACGCGAUAA
rnacentral:rRNA from 1 species